UCCAGGAGGCAGCAGGCACGCAAUUACCCACUCCCGGCACGGGGAGGUAGUGACAAAAAAUAACGAUACGGGACUCUUUUGAGGCCCCGUAAUCGGAAUGAGUACACUUUAAAUCCUUUAACGAGGAUCCAUUGGAGGGCAAGUCUGGUGCCAGCAGCUGCGGUAAUUCCAGCUCCAAUAGCGUAUAUUAAAGUUGUUGCGGUUAAAAAGCUCGUAGUUGGUUCUGCGUGCUACGCUGUCGGUUCGCCGCCUGCCGGUGUAACUGGCAUGCCGUGGUAUGUCCUGUCGGUGGUGUGCGGGAGCCUUGUCUAGGCGAUGGCCCGGGCCAAAAGCUCGGUGUCCAUAGGCCGGAGGUGGACCCCGUUCACCUAUUCUAUCCUACCUAGGUGCUCUUUACCGAGUGUCGAGGUAGGCCGACACGUUUACUUUGAACAAAUUAGAGUGCUCAAAGCAGGCUGAAAUCUCUGCCUGAAUAGUGGUGCAUGGAAUAAUAAAACAGGACCUUGGUUCUAUUUUGUUGGUUCUUAAGAACACAAGGUAAUGAUCAAUACGGACAAGCGGGGGCAUUCGUAUUGCGGCGUUAGAGGUGAAAUUCUUGGAUCGUCGCAAGACGCACAAGAGCGAAAGCAUUUGCCAAGUAUGUCUUGAUUGAUCAAGAACGAAAGUUAGAGGUUCGAAGGCGAUCAGAUACCGCCCUAGUUCUAACCAUAAACGAUGCCAGCCAGCGAUCCGCCGAUGUUCCUCCGAUGACUCGGCGGGGAGCUUCUUCCCGGGAAACCAAAGCUUUUGGGUUCCGGGGGAAGUAUGGUUGCAAAGCUGAAACUUAAAGGAAUUGACGGAAGGGCACCACCAGGAGUGGAGCCUGCGGCUUAAUUUGACUCAACACGGGAAACCUCACCAGGCCAGGACAUUGGAAGGAUUGACAGAUUGAUAGCUCUUUCUUGAUUCAGUGGGUAGUGGUGCAUGGCCGUUCUUAGUUGGUGGAUCGAUUUGUCUGGUUAAUUCCGAUAACGAACGAGACUCUAGCCUAUUAACUAGGCGUUUACUGGUGUCCUCGCCACCAGCGACACUCAUUCUUCUUAAGGGGACAGGCGGCUUAUAGCCGCACGAGAUUGAGCAAUAACAGGUCUGUGAUGCCCUUAGAUGUCCUGGGCCGCACGCGCGCUACACUGAAGGAAUCAGCGUGUGCCUCCCUGGCCGAAAGGCCCGGGUAAUCCGCUGAACCUCCUUCGUGCUAGGAAUUGGGGCUUGCAAUUGUUCCCCAUGAACGAGGAAUUCCCAGUAAGCGCGAGUCAUAAGCUCGCGUUGAUUACGUCCCUGCCCUUUGUACACACCGCCCGUCGCUACUACCGAUUGAAUGAUUUAGUGAGGUCUUCGGACUGGCGGUAAGCCCUAUCGACUUGUCGGUAUCGAUGAACGCUGGAAAGAUGACCAAACUUGAUCAUUAGAGGAAGUAAA
rnacentral:rRNA from 1 species